UUGCAAGUCUCCAGCAAUCUGGGUUUGGAGUAACCCUAUGUAUUUCUACAGUGCUUGCAAGAGCAGCUUUGAAAGGGUUUGAGGCCUUGCUCUACAAUAUCUGCAGAGCAAUGUUAUAGAAAUUUCAGACAUGC